GCCAGUGUGGUGCAGUGGUUUGAGUGCUGGACUACACUCUGGAGACCAGGGUUCAACUCCCAGCUUGGCU
rnacentral:tRNA from 1 species